GCUCACAUCGACGGGGAGGUUUGGCACCUCGAUGUCGGCUCGUCACGUCCUGGGGCUGGAGAAGGUCCCAAGGGUUAGGCUGUUCGCCUAUUAAAACGGCACGUGAGCUGGGUUCAAACCGACGUGAGUCAGGUUGGUCUCUAUCCGGUGUGGGCGUUCGAAUAUUGAGGAGGUUGACUCUUAGUACGAGAGGACCAGAGUGAGGUAACCGCUAGUGUACCAAUUGUUCCACCAGGAGCAUCGUUGGGUAGCUACGUUGCUAUAGGAUAAGCGCUGAAAGCAUAUAAGUGCGAAGCCAACUCCAAGAUUAAUAUUCGUUGAGAUCCGUUUCAGAUAAGAACGUAAAAUUUCUUUUCUUUACAAAGUUUGUAUUUUGUAGCUUGCUAUAAUUUACUUUCUGCGUUUUGAACAGAAUUAAUAGGCUCUAGGUGUAAGUACAGUAAUGUAUUGAGCCGAGGAGCACUAAUAGAUCGAAAGCUUUAUCGCG
rnacentral:rRNA from 1 species